rnacentral:rRNA from 1 species
AUGAAACUCCUCGUAUGGAACUGCCAUGGCAUGCGCAAACCUGCGGCAGUUCGAGCGCUCUUGGGGGUCCAAGAGCGAAUAAAACCGGAUGUGUUGUUCCUGUCUGAAACACACCUGGAUAAGGCUAAGGCAGGGAAACUGAAAAGGAGAUUAGGGUUUGAUGAGAUGGAAGUUUCGGAAAGCGAUGGUAGAAGUGGAGGUCUGAUCAUGUUCUGGCACACCAACCUGGGAGUCUCUUCCUGGGAAACUCAUGCAAAUUUCAUUGAUAUUCGAAUUAAGGAGACAACACCGGUGGGUUGGCGGUUCACAGGGUUCUACGGUGAACCAAGUAGCAACCGGAAACACCUGUCCUAG